rnacentral:rRNA from 1 species
UAACAAGGUUUCCGUAGGUGAACCUGCGGAAGGAUCAUUAAACUUGUGCAAUUGUCACUAGUGGCAAGCGCAUCAUUUUUUCCGGGUGUGACACUCCUGAAAGCGCGCCCCCCUGGCCAAGCCUAGGCGUGAACGAUGUCGCCUUCCUACCGGUACUACAGCGGCUAGGAAGGUGGCUUAAUCGAUUGCUUGUUUGUCACAUGUCUGAAUCCGUGUCUUGUGUACCGUUUGUUUCCUCGGCGAGCCUGCUUGCCAGUGAGGACACCUUCAAACUCUUUUGUUGUAGCCGUAACUGUCUGAUCAAAAUAACAAUUAAAACUUUCAACAACGGAUCUCUUGGUUCUGGCAUCGAUGAAGAACGCAGCGAAAUGCGAUAAUUAGUGUGAAUUGCAGAAUUCAGUGAAUCAUCGAAUCUUUGAACGCACAUUGCGCCCUUUGGUAUUCCUUAGGGCAUGCCUGUUCGAGCGUCAUUAAAACCCUCAAGCCUCGCUUGGUGUUGGGCGUUUGUCCUGCUCUGUCGGGACUCGCCUCGAAAACAUUGGCAGUCUCCUGUGGCUAGAAGCGCAGCACAAUCGCGCUACCUUGGCCUCUGGUGUACUCCCACAAGUACCAACCUUUUGUUUGACCUCGGAUCAGGUAGGGAUACCCGCUGAACUUAAGCAUAUC